GAUACUGAAAGCAAAGGAUUUAGCUAUAUUUGGACACACUAAAACAUCUUUCAGAGACAAGAUACCUGACGAACCAGAAGCAGUUUGCAGCGGCACUGAACCAAUGUGAGUUAUAGGUAGAUAGUUACCAUCGGCUACCAUGACAUGAUCAUGACCAUGAUAAGGCUGCGAAGUCUGAAGAUUCUGAUGAGAGUUUGUAACAUGAGCAGAAGCCGCCAGUAUCAGGAUACCACUCUGCUCCAGUGUAGUGUUGAUCAGACGAAGGAGGAUCAUUGGAGACCUGAAUCGCAGCCAUUGCUGAAGGAGGUUCAUUACUCUGGUAGGAGAUGUCAAAGCGUCUGUAACACUUCAAGGCAUUGUGUCCAAAACGACCACAAAUCUGGCAAGAUGGUCUAGAGGAGGAGUCUCCUUGAGUAUUAUUUGCAGCUGAACUUUGUUGAUAGAAACCUCGUCCUCUGGUAGAGUAACCACGACCUCUACUGUACCCGAAACGACCAUUACUGCCCCCUCGACCUCUGUAUUGAUUAAAGUGUGGAAUUUGUUGAGAGUAAUUGACAUUCUGAGAAUAUUUUUUGCUCAGUAGCAUCCACGUGAAACGCCAGAUGAGGAGACACAGAGGUUUGAGACACUUCAUAGGAUUUGAGACGGUCGUCGAAGCCAGUUAGGCGAGGAACUAUCUCUUCAAACGUCGGAGGUAAAGGAGAAUCCAUAGCACCUUCAAUACUGGUCUUGAUAGGUUCAUAAUCACGUCCUAGACCUUGCAGAGCUGCAAACACCUUCAUUUUCUCAGAUACAGGGCUUCCCACAGAGUUGAGUUGGUCACAUAGUCCCUUGAUUUCCUUCAAGUAGUCGCUCAUAGAUUUAUCUGUUUUGGAGAUGGUCUGAAGACGACGCUGCAACUCAAACAGUCGUGAAGAAGAAACUCUGUUGAAGUGAUUCCCUAGAGAGGUCCAAACCUCCUGAGCAGUUCGAGCUCCAAGAACAACACUAAGGAUAUCUUGAGAGAGUGAACCAACUAACCAGGCUUGAACAAUCUGAUCAGAUCUGACCCACUGCUGAUGGUCAGGAUUUGGAACAUCUCUGUAGCCUCCUGAGAUGUUUGGAACGUGUAUCAGCGGUAUUGGCUCAGGAGAACCUCCAUUGACGAAGCUUAGAAGACCAACACCAGACAGGAAGGAUUCGAACUGCCUUUUCCAGUGAAUGUAGUUUCGUUCAGUUAGCUUGAGAGUAACGCAGUUGGAGAUGUCAAGUUGAGGUUGAGCAUAUAGAUCUAGAGCGUUGUCCAUGGCUCAGGAUUUACUCCCUAGAGCUCUGAUACCAUGUAAACAGAGAGAAGAUCUAGAACAACAUGAUAAAUUUAUAAACUUUGAAGCUUUUCAUUUCAUAAGAUUUUGCUCAAGUGUUCUUUACAACCUAAGAGAUGUAUUUAUACUAAAAGGUAAAACCCUAGCAGCCUGCCUCGCUGUCCAUUAGGUCUUCAAGUCUUCAUUGGAUUCCAGCAGUUCAAAUCUGUUCUUCAACGUUAUUGGUUGUUUCGAUCCGUACAUUGCAGGACCACCACUUUUGUCUUUUACUCUGUUUUCAGUCUCGAACUCCUUUGUGACCGUUGUUUCAUUUUGCUUCUGAAUGGGCUUUAUAUCAGAGUCUCUCAGGCCCAUUUCGUUAUUCACAAAACUUGUUUCAGCCUUGAACAAUUUGCUUCUUUCACACUCCUCGUUUAUCUUCUUCUCUGUUUCAGAAACAGAGUGUGAUUCUGAAACACUCUUCUUUGGUUUCCAAACCUUCAUCUCCUUGUCUCUUCUGUCUCUUCUGUCAACAGUUUCCACCUGUUUUGAUGAUCCCAAAGUCGAAUUGAGAUGCAUAUGAAACAAAAAGAAAGGAGAGGUCUAAGCUCUCUCUGAAAAGAUAAGAGGAAGAAGUUGGUUUGGAAGUUUAUGUUACACCAAGUGACACGAGUCUUUGGUGCAACGUGGGAAAGACGGCACAUAGAGAAAUGCUUCGGAUCAAGAGAAGCGUCUCCGCAGGUUACAGUCAGUUGGAAGCUGACUGACGUGACCACAUUUGAUAUUUUCGUUUCAAACUCAUUUCAUUCUGCUACAGAACACGACACAAAAAGAUGAGAUGGUAGAUGUGGAAGAGGCAAAACACUAACUGAAUAAAGCAGGUUAGUCAUAAGAUGAAAUGUCAGCGUUGAAGAGGCAGCUCAUGUCCCCAAUGUCUACCACAGUUACAUCAAAAGAUGGUGCAAGAAAAAUGGGGUCUGUGAGCCGCUGAUGAAUCUGUUGGAGAAGACAAAGUAGAGAUCGCUCAUAAAGAAGUCCAUGAUGCUGUGUUAGGACCUGCCAGAAAGAGAGAGGAAGACAGUAAAGAAGCUAAAGAAAGAGUUGAAAAUGGUAACCAAGGUUUUUGAGUGCGCUAGAGAGGACAAAGAGACGCAAACUAGCUCAGUGAGUAAAGCAUGUUAACAAAUUACUUGUGAUACAGUUUGGAAAUGUAAUAUGCAGAACAUGAUCGAAUUAUUAUCAUGAGAAAUUAUGUACUUCUGUUUUGUCUCACUUCCACUACUUUGGCAUUUCACCGGUAUUACAUCUUUGAUCUAAAUGUGCAAUUUUAUUUUAGGUA